rnacentral:lncRNA from 1 species
AGUGACCUGAGAUAGUGCCAUUGCACUCCAGCCUGGGCAACAAGAGCGAAACUCCGACUCAAAAUAAACAAAUAAAUAAAAUAGAUCACUGGGGAAACAAGGUACAAUUUAAUGAAUUAAACAUUCUUCUCUUUAACCAUUUCCUCUUGAAAAGAACAGAGCUUCUGAUGAAGACUCAAAGAUAAUUCCUAUAUCCAAACAGAAAACCACCAAAAUAAUUUGGAAUGGCAUUGUGAGGUUGUACUAGAGCCAUCAUUCUUGCUGCUAUUACCAGAUUAAAAAAACAAAAAACAAAAAAAAACCCAAACCAAUAUUUGUCAACAGAAAAUGUGGAAGCCAAAAGACAAUGAAAUGAUAUUUUUAAUAUAAUGGGGGCGAACCUGCCACCCUAAAAUUCUAUACCCAAUGAAGUCACCGGUGUAAAUUAUUAGUUCUAAUCCUGGCUCUACCACUCACUUACCAGCUAUCUCACUGAGACUCAGUGAUUAUUCCUGUAAGUAUCAACCCCUACAUGUACCCUCAGUAAAAUGAUAGCUAACAUUAUUAGAAUAAAUAAAAAAGAAUCAGAGCAACUGAGCAGAC